GCCUGGGUGGCUCAGUUGGUUGAGUGUCCGACUUCGGCUCAGAUCACGAUCUCAUGGUUUGUGGGUUCAAGCCCUGCGUCAGGCU
rnacentral:tRNA from 1 species